UCUAAUGCUAACGUUUUACCUUCAUUAGGGAGGGGAAGAAAGCUUCUAAGCCACUCUGUUGAGCUCUUGGAGAAUGUCUUACCUUGAAAUUCUGAUUUAGAGAUAGGCACAAUCCAUCUGCUUUGCAUACCUUUGCCCUUUAAACCAGUAUUUGUGACAUAAAGAAGGACACAGCUUGCAGAGUAGCUGGUGGUGACAGAGUACAGAAGUGGCUCGGGUCCAGCCAGUUUCAAUUGAUCAGCUCUUUUUUAUCAGUUUUACGAUAUCGCAUUUACUUAAUAUCACAUGGAACAAAGCAAAUGUCUGCUGGGAAAGGCUGGGCUGCUGUUCAGCUGACAAAUGAGCUGCCCAACGUGCUGUAUCUCCUCUGUGCCCCUGUGUAUUUACCUGCACCUCCACCUCAGCCAUCAUUUUUCUCUUUGCCAUCUGAGCUCCGGUUGCUUUGGCCGAGUGUCACCUUCACAAAUCAAAGGGUUGCAUGUGCAAACUUUCCUGGAGAGAGAGAAAUGGGUAAUUCCAUUUUUUAUCUAGGAGAGCACAUGAACACGGUUAAAGGGGCAGAAGUGCAGCAGUUUGGCAGAGCCAUUCCAGAAGCUGCAGUUACAGUUUACCCACAUUUCUCCUGGCAGGCUGUGAGCAUCCUUUGAAAAAGAAAACCUCACCAAUAACUUACGAAGUAAAUUGGUGAAUCUAAAAAAAACCCCAAUGCCAGCAAACUGGAAUAUUAUUAAAACUGGAAUUUUACCUUUUCUACAGAAUGAACUCAACAUCCAGAUGUGGGCACAGGAUCCACCAGCACUCCUCUAAGCCAGCAGGGAUCCUUGUGUUGUAAAGACAGAAUCACAUUUCAGGCUUGAGUCUAUUACACAGCAGCAGUUCCUGUUGAGAGCAUCUCCCGGCAUCCAGCUCAGUAAUUUCAACAGAAAAAAAAGCCUCUGUGGCACUGAUUAAUGGAAAGGCCUGGAUAUACUGGUGGAUCUGGAAAGCAUCUCAUAAUCUUUGACAGACAAGAUGUUUCUUAUUCUGAAGGGAUUUGAUCAUUGUUUAUGAAAUUAUGUGAGUGACAUAGCAUCACUGUUAUUUUUAUCCUGGCAUUACAGCUGGUCUAAUAAUUUGGGUAAUAAAGUUACUUAUUUUGGCAAUAAAUCAUCAAAUGUAUCCAGAGUUCUUAUCAACAUUUUCAUUUAUUCAUAUUCCUUGUCAGAACUCUUAUCAAUAUUUUUCCACAUUUGUUUUUCUUUUAGAAAUCCUCUGAUUUAAACUUCUAUUAAACUUGUAUUAAUGCAAAACAGUUGAUUUAUUUGAAAUGGUGACAUCAUUUUACUCCAGUCUGUAGAGGUUUACACUUCGCCUAAAUUAAAGUGUCCACACUGACUUCAGCAAGAAUAUGUCCAGUUUAUCAAGUGCCUGUCUAAAUACAUAUUUUUUUAUUAUACACCGAAUUUUCAUUUCUGUCUCCAUAUGUACAUAUAGCUGUGCUUGAACCUGUGUGAGCAUACAUUUGUAUUCCUCAUUUUCCCACGUAGUUUCUGACUACUAGUCCUUUCCAUUUCCACAGGAGAAUCACAGAAGCAUUAAGGCUGGGAGAGACACCCCCAAGAUCAUCAAGUCCAUCUUUCUACACACAUUUGAGGGAAAUAUUUACAGUAGUUUCAUUAAUAAAAAUGUUGUUUGAGAUAAACAUAAAAAGCCAAUAAAAAUAACUGAAAAUUAUUACAACUUGUAAUAACCUAUCUCAAAAUUUCUGGAAAAUAGAAGGUAGAACAAUGUCUCUGAUAGUUAGAUGGGUGAAUAACACAUUUUUGCUGGGAAGGGAGAAUGCAAACCCAUCCUGAAGGAACAAGAGGUGGGAUGCAAACACCAGAACUGACUCUACCAUAGGUCAAGACCAGCCACCUACUACCAGUAGUAACUCAGGUUUCAAGGAAAGCUGAGGACACUCCUGAAAUAAUUAAAAUUUUUUUCCUGAAAUAAUUACCAGCACAGGAAAAUGAAGACAUUCUGUGGAUGAACAGACCAUUGCAGGCUGAACGGGAUUGAUUCUAUGUGGAUGGUUAAUAAUUUAUCAUUAAGGAACAAACUGAGAAAGAGUUUAUGCUGUCAGUUCAUGCAGCGGGGAUAAAAGGAGAUAUUUGUUUAGUCCUGUUUUUGCAACAAUAAAAUUUGGGUUAAUUUACAACAGCAGUUCAAUGGAAAUGUCUGCUCCAUAAAGAGAGGGAAGGCAAAGAGAGAACCAUGGAGCAAAUAUAAUUGUCUUGAAAGCUGUGGUUUAACAGAAACAAGCCUGGAAAAGCUUCCUUGAGCCACUGAGUUAAGCCCAGCCCCUCCUUCUCUCACUGUAUAAAAUUCUCACCAGAGCUCACUCUGAAAGAACUGGAUGUAAAUAUAAAUCUUCAGCUGAAAUACAGCAGAAGUUCUACAGACCCCAGCAUGUUCACAUCUGUCACAGCCACUUUGCAUUAAGAUUUUCAGAAACUUGUGUUACAGCUCAGCCAUCAGACUUGAUUUUCCUAUCACCUUGAACACCUAAAAAGAUUUUGGAGGCAUAUGUAUUUUUUUUUUUAAAUCAUAAAGCAAUUUAAGUCCUGUUGGUUGAGCCCUGAUCUGGCUCAUAUUUAAGCGUGUGCUAAACUUCACUCGUAUAAACAACCCCAGAAUUGACAGCAGGGCUUCAAAAUGCCAUUUUGUGCCUCUGAAUAUGGAAAAACGUGGCUGGUUUAAAAAUACCCAUCAGUCUAACCAGCACAGCACAAUGCAAAGUGUGUCAGUCCACUGACAGAGGGGAAAAAUAGAUGGAGAGCAUUGCUUCCAGUGAGCAGGGAUGACAAUCAGAAGGAAUAAUGUCAUUCCUGGCAUUGCUCACGUGCAGGAAUAUUUGUAUUUGCUCUCGGUGGCGAUGGCUGUGACUCCCAGCUCAUCCUCAGUGCUGCAGCAGCAGGGGACGGAGCUGGAAUCCAGGAAACAACUCCCAGUGAUACCCACAGGUAAAAAUUAUGAAAACAUAUUCAGCAGUUGCAGUUCCUUCAGUCUAUCGGCUACAUGAAAGGCAUUAAUAAAAGAAGCCUAAAUACAUAUUUAACCAAUUGACCAGAAUGGCACUGAAGGAGUUUUAACAUAUUUUGAAAAAUUGCCUAAAUACAUAUUUACCCAAUAGACUGGAACAGCUGCUUCGGAGUCUCUCUGGUCUCUUGGGUCUGUAAUACGUGUUUUUAAAAACUGCCUGGCUAUAUAUUUACCCAAUAGACCAGAACAGCUAUUAAGUAAAUAAUACACAUUAUAUAACUGUCAAUGAUUUUUU